rnacentral:misc_RNA from 1 species
ACAUUUUUAUACAUUUCAUUGUGCCUUCGUACCAACCAACGGGCCGUGAGCCGUGACAUUGUAAAUUUUCGUUCGAGAAGAACGCGCCGUCGUAAUACCACGUGAUAAUUUAAGCAACGAGGUUUUGAGUAAUUUUUAUAAAAACGUGUUUUAUUUGAUUCAUUUUUUUUCGUGAGUACAAUUGGAAAAUAAAAAGCAACAAAUAAAGAUGAGUUCAAGUACGUGUUACAAGUGUAAUAGGCAAGGUCAUUUUGCUCGAGAAUGCAACAGCGAUGGUGGUGGCCGUGAUAGUUUCAGCGGUCGUGGUCGCGAAAAAUGCUACAAAUGUAACCGUUUGGGCCAUUUUGCACGUGAUUGCAAGGAGGAAGCGGAACGUUGCUAUCGUUGUAAUGGCGAAGGUCAUUUUGCAAAGGACUGUAAGCAAAGUCCGGAGGUGCCGUCCUGUUACACGUGCAAUAAGCCUGGGCAUAUCGCUAGGAGUUGCCCAGAAUCUGGUGGCGGAAAUGAUCGCGUUUCCAGCCAAGCGUGUCGUACUUGCAAGAAGUUGGGGCACAUAUCGCGUAAUUGUCCGGAAAAUACCAAGUGCUUCAGGUGCCAGAAAACUGGCCAUUUCAUGCGCGAUUGCGACCAAGAGUAGGGCCCUACCCUCCAUACAAAAAAAUUACUAUAUCUAAAUCCGCCAACAACAACAACAACACGUCUUUGUUCAUUGGAUUGCAUUUUUUAACGAUGAUGAUGAGAGAGAGAGAUGAGAGGUUUGACGGUUUCCGAGGUGUUGACAAAGUUUUACACUUGUUGUAUUUUUCAUAUGUUUAAAAAUUGUUUUGGUCCAUAUCUGUAAUACGGUUUGUAAGCCUAUUUAUUCUCAAACACUUCCUGUAUUUUGUAUUUCUCUCUUUUUUUUUUUAAAUACUAUCGUAGGAUUCGUUUUCAUUUAUAUAGGUAAACCCAAAAUAAAAUAAAAAUCCCUCUUCCUUUUACAACAUCACCACAUACAAUCCCCCUAUCCUUUUUAUUUUGUUCAGGGAAUAACUAUUUUCCUAAUAAAAUAUAUAGAAAUUUUUCA